GGCGAACGGGUGAGUAACACGUGGGUAACCUGCCCAUCAGAAGGGGAUAACACUUGGAAACAGGUGCUAAUACCGUAUAACAAUCGAAACCGCAUGGUUUUGAUUUGAAAGGCGCUUUCGGGUGUCGCUGAUGGAUGGACCCGCGGUGCAUUAGCUAGUUGGUGAGGUAACGGCUCACCAAGGCCACGAUGCAUAGCCGACCUGAGAGGGUGAUCGGCCACAUUGGGACUGAGACACGGCCCAAACUCCUACGGGAGGCAGCAGUAGGGAAUCUUCGGCAAUGGACGAAAGUCUGACCGAGCAACGCCGCGUGAGUGAAGAAGGUUUUCGGAUCGUAAAACUCUGUUGUUAGAGAAGAACAAGGAUGAGAGUAACUGUUCAUCCCUUGACGGUAUCUAACCAGAAAGCCACGGCUAACUACGUGCCAGCAGCCGCGGUAAUACGUAGGUGGCAAGCGUUGUCCGGAUUUAUUGGGCGUAAAGCGAGCGCAGGCGGUUUCUUAAGUCUGAUGUGAAAGCCCCCGGCUCAACCGGGGAGGGUCAUUGGAAACUGGGAGACUUGAGUGCAGAAGAGGAGAGUGGAAUUCCAUGUGUAGCGGUGAAAUGCGUAGAUAUAUGGAGGAACACCAGUGGCGAAGGCGGCUCUCUGGUCUGUAACUGACGCUGAGGCUCGAAAGCGUGGGGAGCAAACAGGAUUAGAUACCCUGGUAGUCCACGCCGUAAACGAUGAGUGCUAAGUGUUGGAGGGUUUCCGCCCUUCAGUGCUGCAGCUAACGCAUUAAGCACUCCGCCUGGGGAGUACGACCGCAAGGUUGAAACUCAAAGGAAUUGACGGGGGCCCGCACAAGCGGUGGAGCAUGUGGUUUAAUUCGAAGCAACGCGAAGAACCUUACCAGGUCUUGACAUCCUUUGACCACUCUAGAGAUA
rnacentral:rRNA from 1 species